AGAGUUUGUCCUGGCUCAGAUUGAACGCUGGCGGCAUGCCUUACACAUGCAAGUCGAACGGCAGCACGGAGCUUGCUCUGGUGGCGAGUGGCGAACGGGUGAGUAAUAUAUCGGAACGUACCCUAGAGUGGGGGAUAACGUAGCGAAAGUUACGCUAAUACCGCAUACGAUCUAAGGAUGAAAGUGGGGGAUCGCAAGACCUCAUGCUCGUGGAGCGGCCGAUAUCUGAUUAGCUAGUUGGUAGGGUAAAAGCCUACCAAGGCAUCGAUCAGUAGCUGGUCUGAGAGGACGACCAGCCACACUGGAACUGAGACACGGUCCAGACUCCUACGGGAGGCAGCAGUGGGGAAUUUUGGACAAUGGGCGAAAGCCUGAUCCAGCAAUGCCGCGUGAGUGAAGAAGGCCUUCGGGUUGUAAAGCUCUUUUGUCAGGGAAGAAACGGUGAGAGCUAAUAUCUCUUGCUAAUGACGGUACCUGAAGAAUAAGCACCGGCUAACUACGUGCCAGCAGCCGCGGUAAUACGUAGGGUGCAAGCGUUAAUCGGAAUUACUGGGCGUAAAGCGUGCGCAGGCGGUUUUGUAAGUCUGAUGUGAAAUCCCCGGGC
rnacentral:rRNA from 1 species